UACGGAGGGUGCAAGCGUUGUCCGGAAUCACUGGGCGUAAAGGGCGCGUAGGCGGCUCAUGAAGGCUGUGGUGAAAGUCCGGGGCUCAACCUCGGAUCGGCCGUGGCGACUCGUGGGCUGGAGCACUGUAGAGGCGGGUGGAAUUCCGGGUGUAGCGGUGGAAUGCGUAGAGAUCCGGAAGAACACCAGUGGCGAAGGCGGCCCGCUGGGCAGUGGCUGACGCUGAGGCGCGACAGCGUGGGGAGCAUACAGG
rnacentral:rRNA from 1 species